rnacentral:tRNA from 1 species
GGAAAUGUGCCUGAAACCAAAGGGCUAUUUUGAUAGAAUAGACCAUAGGAAUGCACCUCCUCAUUUCCU